UAUCCGGAAUUAUUGGGCGUAAAGGGCUCGUAGGCGGUUCGUCGCGUCCGGUGUGAAAGUCCAUCGCUUAACGGUGGAUCCGCGCCGGGUACGGGCGGGCUUGAGUGCGGUAGGGGAGACUGGAAUUCCCGGUGUAACGGUGGAAUGUGUAGAUAUCGGGAAGACCACCAAUGGCGAAGGCAGGUCUCUGGGCCGUCACUGACGCUGAGGAGCGAAAGCGUGGGGAGCGAACAGGAUUAGAUACCCUGGUAGUCCACGCCGUAAACGGUGGAUGCUGGAUGUGGGGACCAUUCCACGGUCUCCGUGUCCGGGCCCAACGCGUUAAGCCUCCCGCCUGGGGAGU
rnacentral:rRNA from 1 species